UUUGGUGGUUAUGCUUUCAUGUUUAAAUGUAUUGAUUUAGCUAUUUGUGUUUGCUAUGAGCAUUUCUAUGAUGCACCGAGUGGCUAAGGCUAACCAGGCUUGGUGUUUAAAGACUGUACAGACUAGAACCUGGUGAUGACUCCACUGAUUGGGAAAUCUCUGCCCAUCACCUGUCCAAGAUCACAGCCACAAGAAGGGAACACAGAUUCUUCCGGUGGCUGACUAUUAGUGAGAUUUCUUAAGAGAACCAGCACUCCAGGAUUUUUCGAGAAAGUUGGAUCUGCACAGCCGUUCCUGCUCUAUGAAACUCUACUGUUUGCAACUGGACACAACUGAUCCACUCGUAUCCUGCAACUGAUCCACUCGUAUCCUGCAACUGAUCCACUUGUAUCCUGCAACUGUUCUUCAUCUGCUGAAUGUUGUUGACUCGAGCACUGCUGUACUGUUGCAGAGUCGAAGGUACUGAAUCAACUUCACUGACACAGGACUUACAUUCACUGACAUGUUCAGGAUUUGAAGUAUUACAGACCAUUUGAUAAGAAGCUUUCAUAUAAUUCUGAUGACAGAAAUGCCUAUAUUGUGCAUUCAUUGUUUAUUUUAAAGGUUAACCUAUGAUGUAAAGGGGCUUGUUCGUUAAUAAAAUAAAUAGUUUGUUAAAACCA